rnacentral:rRNA from 1 species
GAUGAACGCUGGCGGCGUGCCUAAUACAUGCAAGUCGAGCGAACAGAUAAGGAGCUUGCUCCUUUGACGUUAGCGGCGGACGGGUGAGUAACACGUGGAUAACCUGCCUAUAAGACUGGGAUAACUUCGGGAAACCGGAGCUAAUACCGGAUAACAUAUUGAACCGCAUGGUUCAAUAGUGAAAGGCGGCUUUGCUGUCACUUAUAGAUGGAUCCGCGCCGUAUUAGCUAGUUGGUAAGGUAACGGCUUACCAAGGCAACGAUACGUAGCCGACCUGAGAGGGUGAUCGGCCACACUGGAACUGAGACACGGUCCAGACUCCUACGGGAGGCAGCAGUAGGGAAUCUUCCGCAAAGGGCGAAAGCCUGACGGAGCAACGCCGCGUGAGUGAUGAAGGUCUUCGGAUCGUAAAACUCUGUUAUCAGGGAAGAACAAAUGUGUAAGUAACUGUGCACAUCUUGACGGUACCUGAUCAGAAAGCCACGGCUAACUACGUG